GAAGAGAUGAAAAAUUGAAGAAAACAGAAAAUGAAGAGAGGAAGGGAUAAAUGAUGUUGGAGACUGGAGGCGUUGGAGAAUUUGAAGAGGUGACAAAAUCGAGCCUCCGGUUUUAUUGGAGAAGUGGACCCAUUGCAUUAUCGAAGCAAGCGUUGGACAGCUGUUUCCUCGACCGAUGAAAUGUUACCGACGUUUUUGGGAAUGAAACUGAUCAUCGAGACAAGACUGAGUGGUUUUUUCCAAGCGUGAACAGCUUGAAGAUUCACCUAGAAGCUUGAUAAAAAAAGGUGUUCAAAAUGUUCUUUUUAAUGGCACCAAUGGGAAACUUUAAUUAAGUAGUUAAUGCAGCCAGUUCCAACACCAUUGAACCGACCAGCAAACAGAAAUUAGUUGUCGACAGGCGGUUCGAAUUAUAAAUUUCUUAGGAGGCCCCGUAACAGCUUCCUUUUUCUACCUUCCACCUCACAGUCAACUUUAUUCUGUCGGUUACUUCAAAGGGAAAAACGUUUUCUUCUUUUGGAUUCAGGAUCUUGGUUUUUUUUCUUCCAUAACAAUUAAC